rnacentral:siRNA from 1 species
UCGAAGACGAUCAGAUACCGUCCUA